rnacentral:rRNA from 1 species
GAUGAACGCUAGCGGCAGGCUUAACACAUGCAAGUCGAGGGGUAGAGGUUGCUUGCAACCUUGAGACCGGCGCACGGGUGCGUAACGCGUAUGCAACCUACCUUUUACAGAGGGAUAGCCCAGAGAAAUUUGGAUUAAUACCUCAUAGUAUAUAACCUUCGCAUGUUGGUUAUAUUAAAGUUCCAACGGUAAAAGAUGGGCAUGCGUCCUAUUAGCUAGAUGGUAAGGUAACGGCUUACCAUGGCAACGAUAGGUAGGGGUCCUGAGAGGGAGAUCCCCCACACUGGUACUGAGACACGGACUAGACUCCUACGGGAGGCAGAAGUGAGGAAUAUUGGACAAUGGGCGCAAGCCUGAUCCAGCCAUGCCGCGUGCAGGAAGAAGCAUCUAUGGUGUGUAAACUGCUUUUGUACAGGAAGAAACACCCCGACGUGUCGGGACUUGACGGUACUGUAAGAAUAAGGAUCGGCUAACUCCGUGCCAGCCGCCGCGGUAAGAC